rnacentral:rRNA from 1 species
UACAGAGGCCUCGAGCGUUAGGCGGAAUCACUGGGCUUAAAGCGUGUGUAGGCGGACUUCUAAGUACCUUGUGAAAUCCCACGGCUCACCCGUGGAACUGCUUGGUAUACUGGUUGUCUUGAGCCUUCUAGGGGCGAGUGGAACAAAUGGUGGAGCGGUGAAAUGCGUAGAUAUCAUUUGGAACGCCAAUGGUGAAAACAACUCGCUGGGGAAAUGCUGACGCUGAGACACGAAAGCCAGGGGAGCGAACGGG